rnacentral:rRNA from 1 species
AGCGUAUAUUAAAGUUGUUGCAGUUAAAAAGCUCGUAGUUGAAUUUCGGGAUUAGUACGUUGGUCGUGCCUUCGGUACGUACUGGUGUUACUGAUUCCUACCUUCUGACGAACCAUCAUGUCAUUAAUUUGGUGUGGCGGGGAAUCAGGACUGUUACUUUGAAAAAAUUAGAGUGUUUAAAGCAGGCUCGCGCUUGAAUACAUUAGCAUGGAAUAAUGAAAUAGGACGUUGAUCCUAUUUUGUUGGUUUCUAGAAUUGACGUAAUGAUUAAUAGGGAUAGUUGGGGGCAUUAGUAUUCAAUUGUCAGAGGUGAAAUUCUUGGAUUUAUUGAAGACUAACUACUGCGAAAGCAUUUGCCAAGGAUGUUUUCAUUAAUCAAGAACGAAAGUUAGGGGAUCGAAGACGAUCAGAUACCGUCGUAGUCUUAACCAUAAACUAUGCCGACUAGGGAUCGGAUGAUGUUAUUUUUAAUGACUC